rnacentral:rRNA from 1 species
GAUGAACGCUGGCGGUAUGCUUAACACAUGCAGGUCGAACGGACUCUUCGGAGUUAGUGGCGGACGGGUGAGUAACGCGUGAGAAUCUGGCUUUGGGUUCGGGACAACCACUGGAAACGGUGGCUAAUACCGGAUGUGCCGAGAGGUAAAAGAGAAAUUGCCUGAAGAUGAGCUCGCGUCUGAUUAGCUAGUUGGUGAGGUAAAGGCUCACCAAGGCAGCGAUCAGUAGCUGGUCUGAGAGGAUGACCAGCCACACUGGGACUGAGACACGGCCCAGACUCCUACGGGAGGCAGCUGUGGGGAAUUUUCCGCAAUGGGCGAAAGCCUGACGGAGCAAUACCGCGUGAGGGAAGAAGGCUCUUGGGUUGUAAACCUCUUUUCUUAGGGAAGAACAAAAUGACGGUACCUAAGGAAUCAGCAUCGGCUAACUCCGUG